UGAAGCGUGGUGCAACGGCAGCAUGACGGACUCUGACUCCGCCGAUCCAGGUUCGAAUCCUGGCGCUUCAG
rnacentral:tRNA from 1 species